GUGUGUAUUUAGCAGUCUGUGUGUGUGUGUAUUUAGCAGUCUGUGUGUGUAUUCAGCAGACUGUGUACUCAGCAGUCUGCUAAAUACAGACAGACUGCUAAAUACACAUACAGACAGACUGCCGAGCAC
rnacentral:miRNA from 1 species